CUGUGACUUGAAGUGAUGUAUGAGAUGGAGAUAUAUUUAGAAGGCAAGGUCCUCAACAAGAAAUGGAAGGGAAGCACAAGGGGAUUGAGUGCCUUGGCUGAAGCCCUUGGUCAGCAAGUGGUGGGGCAAGCAUUGAGACAGCAGCUUCUAACCUAAGCAUGUGCUCAUCUCAGCACUCUGCCCAGAACCUGGUCAGUUCAGCUUCCUAGACGGGCUCCCUACUCACACACUUUGGAAAGGAGAACAGUUCUUCACGUAGAAUGUGAACAAUCAAGCUGGACUCUCAUAGAACUUCCUAGAGGCCCUACUCUGGCCCAAGAUUGAACCACAGUGAAAUGAUCAGUUCUGCAUUGGAUGAUAUCACUGAUCAAUUUUCUUUCCAUUCCGUCAUUUGGUGCACCCUUCCUCUACCUCCAGAGUCAUCUGGACCCGUGACUACCACCA
rnacentral:lncRNA from 1 species